GGUAGCCUCAAAAUGAGGGCAAUGUCUUCAGCAUAGAAGAUCAAUGUCUACCCUCCCAAAUGAAAUCUUCCCUUGCUGUCAUCCCAGCAACUGAGGAGUUAGUCUACAACUGUCCGCUCUUGUGUGAUGACUGGGAUGUCAAGCAUGUAGUAGAAGGAUGUCUGCUGUAUCAAUCUUUUAUGGACAUCUAUCAACAACUCUCGGAUGCCCCUGAUGAAGUCCACAUAUCGCCAU
rnacentral:lncRNA from 1 species